ACCUGGGUGGCUCAGUCGGUUAAGUGUCCGACUUCGGCUCAGGUCAUGAUCUCACGGUUUGUGGGUUCGAGUCCCACCUCGGGCU
rnacentral:tRNA from 1 species